rnacentral:rRNA from 1 species
UACGUAGGGGGCUAGCGUUGUUCGGAAUCACUGGGCGCAAAGGGAGUGUAGGCGGAGGUGUAAGUCAGGAGUGUAAUCUACGGGCUUAACCCGUAGUUUGCUUUUGAGACUGCACUUCUUGAGUAGUGGAGAGGGAGACGGAAUUCCAGGUGUAGCGGUGGAAUGCGUAGAUAUCUGGAAGAACACCAGUAGCGAAGGCGGUCUCCUGGCCACAUACUGACGCUGAGGCUCGAAAGCGUGGGGAG